rnacentral:lncRNA from 1 species
AGUACCACCCUCCACACACACCACCAGCACCAGCACCAGUUGUGACAACCAAAAAUGUCCCCAGAUAUCGCCAAAUGUCUCCUGGGAGGCAAAAUCACUCUGCCAAUCUCCACCCACGUACUGCACUUGCUUCCAUGACACAGCCCCAUGACGGACACAGCAUGUGGGCAAGAAGUAAACAUGAAUGGCUAUGAGCCUCUGAGAUCUGGGGACUAUUUUUUAACUGAGGCAUUACUUAGUCCAAGUUAACUGAUACAAUAUAUGGUGACUGUGAGAAUAAGUGAGCUCAUAUCUGUAAAAUCCUUAGCCCCAUGUGUGGUAUAUCUUAAGCAACGAAUACAUAUUAUUAAUAUCCUUGAUCACUAUUCAUUCAUUCAAUUUAUCUGCCAUAUUGAGGAUAAAAGCCCAUGUAAAACUAUCUAAUUUCCCUUACAAAGUGUUGGCAUAAUUCAGAGGUUUAAAAUGAGAUUUAGAGUCCAAUAAAGAGGUUACGAUAUCCUCUCCAUGGAAAGCAGUGAGAAGUGCAGAGGACAAAGUGCCAAUUCAUGGGACGCAUGUGCUCCAGAAUAUGUCUCGGGCCACUAGCAGUAAUUUCCCUGGCACUGGCAUGAUCAUGGCUCACUGCAGCCUCGACUCUCCCAGGCUUAGAUGAUCCUCCCCCCUCAGCCUCCUGAGUAGCUGGGACCAUAGCAUACCACCAUGCCUGAAUAAUAUUUUGUACUUUUUGUAGAGAUGGGGUUUUGCUAUGUUGCCCAUGCUGGUCUCAAACUCUUACACUCAAACAAUCUGCACACUUCAGUCUCCCAAAGUGCUAGGAUUACAGGGAUAAGCCAUUGCACCUGGCCAGUCUAGUAUUUUAUACCCAACCAAUCUAUCCAUCCAAAGAAAGGAUAGAAUAGACAUAUUCAGACUUUUAAAGACUGUCAGAAUGAGGGUCAAAGCCAAGGAGAAGAGAGACAUAGAAUCAAAAAGGAGGGUGUCCAACACAAGGGAGCAUCAGAAGGAAGUCCCAGAAUAACAACAGCACAGCCAAUCCAGACAAGAGCUGGUCCAGGUCAGAUCAAUUAAACCAAAAGAUUAUGAUGCAUUUGAGAAU